UACGGAGGGGGCUAGCGUUGUUCGGAAUUACUGGGCGUAAAGCGCGCGUAGGCGGCUUUGUAAGUUAGAGGUGAAAGCCCGGGGCUCAACCCCGGAACUGCCUUUAAGACUGCAUCGCUUGAAUCCGGGAGAGGUGAGUGGAAUUCCGAGUGUAGAGGUGAAAUUCGUAGAUAUUCGGAAGAACACCAGUGGCGAAGGCGGCUCACUGGACCGGCAUUGACGCUGAGGUGCGAAAGCGUGGGGAGCGAACGGG
rnacentral:rRNA from 1 species